CAACAGCCAGAACUACACCUUCAAUCAAGUCCGUGGUCUCCACCACCCAUUCAGCCGAUUUUUAAAGAUGAAGCAACUGGUGCGGAAAUCUGCCACCACGUGGGUGACCAGAUAUUCCGUUUAACACCAUUAUAUGGCCGCCUGGAAGACUUAAAAAGCGAGUCUUAUGCUUUGUUUGUUAUUGCAACUUAUUUUCCAAAGGUAUAUAUAUAUUGCAGGCAUUGAUCCAGUGCAAGGAUAUAUUGCCCGCUACGAAUACUACAAGCAGCGCCAUCUCUACAUUAUUCUGUCGCCACAUAACACUCUGCAGCAACCUACAGCUCUACCUGGUGAUCAACAACUUCCCGAUCCAUUACCCAUCACAGAUCAGUCGCUGUCGGUUUCAACAGCACCGCUUUCCGUUCCGUUCUCUGUUGUCACUACAUCUCCGACUGCUGAA